AUCCACUUGGUGGUUACCGCAGGACAACGGAAGCUCGCACGGUCAUCGAUCCUGGUCGUCGGAGCCGGAGUUUUGGGCUCGCCCGUGUCAAUGUAUCUGGCUGCUUGUGGUGUCGGUAAAAACAAUUGUCGUUCAUCACCCAUCACUGUUAGUUUCUCUCUUUUUGGUUUGAUUUAGAAAUCAGUGACUACUAUUUCUUUUACAACAAAAGGUGCUCAUCAGGUAUAUCAAUUAUCAUACCGGUUCAUUUGGAAGGGAGUUCAUUACUGAUGAGGAACGUUGGAACAACUAUUUUGACUCUGUGCUCGAUGAUGCCUUUUUUUUCCUUAAUUAACUGGCCAUGAAUUGAUUUGCGGCUUGGUGUACUUUGUUAGUUUGCUUAGGUAUUGUUGAUGGCGAUCAAGUUGAAAAAAAUAAGAUUAUCAUUUAGUGUACUUCUAUUAGGUGCUUCAAAACUCAAUGCCGUAUCAUACAGUGUAUACAAAAGUGUGAAUCGAGUAGCAGGAACCUUUUGUGGAUUUUUUGCUGAAACUCAUAUAUGUGAUAUUUUAGAAUUUAGAAUUUACAGUCUCCUGACAAAGAGGACGGCUCAUCUUCACCUGAUAUGCCUGUUCCCGAAGUUUUGAAUUCCAUCAUGCGAGUGGUGUUGUGCUGCGACCCAUCCUCCUCUUCGAUUUCCGCUGAAACCCCUCCUCGACGGAAUGCUAACCGGAAGGGUUUGUCAUGCCUAGAAGUUGGCCAAGAAUUCGAUAUCAACCCUUUACAGCUAAUAACAGAUCAAUCACCAGCAAAAAGGCAACUCGGCACUAGCUAACAGAUCAGUCAGUAGGGAUGCAUGUUCACCACUCCAUUCCCGAGUAAUAACGUUGUGAAGAUCGAUCAGUUGCUAUCGCGUGAUCUGUCAGGUUUAGAGGCCCAGCCCAACUUGAGAGGCUUCGCUGAAACAUGUUGAAACCAACCUGAGAAUGCAGUAUGCACGACAUGGCAAGAUGGAGAUCGACUGAGGCAGAGGCGCCUAGCAUCAUUUCUCUUUAAUGGACCCUUCCAUCGGCCAUAUGUUGUCAACUCUAGUAGUCCUCCUUUGGGAGCAAAGCUAUGUUGGUAGCUGCUAAAAACAAGACAUCAUCAGUUGACGUGUAUUCAUGAUCUCACCAAUUACUAAACCAAGGCCGCGGUCGUUUCG